CUUGACGGCGGCUUCUGCCUUCCCACCUUGGCCCUUGAACCUCUGUCCUGGGCGAUUUAACAGCAUUUGGACGUGAACUGGGUUCUCCAGCAGUGAGAGCAGGUUGUAUCGGGUACCGGGCCAUGGAAUAAUUAGACUGUUAUCUCAAGUGAAAAUACUAAAAAUGCAAGUAUUAAGUCCAAAAUGGAAGAUAUCCUUUAAUUUUAGAAGUCAACUUUAUAUAGCAGUGAGCUUUCUAUACUUUUAACUUCAGAGCUACUUUAAGGCCUAAGAGGAAAAGUCUUUUCGCUAAGACUGAAGCCCUUUCUGAUCUACCCAGGACGCCCAGAGAGAACUCAGACUGGUAGAUGGAGUAAAUUUCUUCGCCUUGGAUGCGAGACAGAGUGGACAAGGCCUCCUUCAGCAGACAUCGGUGCUGGCAGGGGGAGCUGCAACUCCUGCUAGAGGACAAGUGGCACAAGUUCCAACAGAAUGGCCCGUGGCUACAUUUCUGCCUUCCUUCAAGAAUGGGCUUGGAUGGUGGGAAGAUUAGAAUUCAGAGAAAAAUGAUAGUGCUUCACCAGUGACAAGACGUGCAAAAUAAUCACAGAUGGACACAUAGAGAAUUGGCUGGCCCCACCAGUCAUGUCCUAGAUCCAUCCCGUCAUCGAGACUCCAACACUCCUAUAAAAAGGAGAGCUAUGGAUGGGAGGCUGGAAAGAGGCUCUUGUGUCCUUGGAGGUGUUCAAGUAUUUUUGAAAUCCUUGUCCUUACAGAGGGUCACGUGGAAGUGGGGUCAUCCAUGAAAAUAGAAUAACCUUGGGGGGGGUGGGUAGAGAAGGGAGAGGACUCUCAGAUCUUAGCACUUUUCCACAGGCUUUCUAAGGGCUUCGAUGCACCUCAGCAGUUGCACUUUAGACCUUCUGAGAGAAUAGCCUUUGGGUGGGCAGGGAUUGCAGAAUUUAACAGGGGCUGCUUUAGAACAAAGGGAUUAUACCUUCCUGCCUUCUUGGAUGAUAUUCCAGCAAAGACCUGCUCUCAGAGGAAACACACUCUUGGACAUCAAAUAGACCACUCAGGCACUGGGAAGCUAUGGCUUUGGAGUCAGCUAAAGCAUAACUGUAGUACAUCUGUCACCGAGAAUGCCACACAAGGGAGCACUUUAGACUUAGAGCAAGAAAAGACAUGCCUCUCAAGAGAAAGGCUUCCCAAAUUAAAGCAGUGCAUCAGCAGUGCGAGAACCAUCGAGCAGGUAAAGACGGAGCUGCGUCACAGCCUGCUAGGAAUAAGAGCCCUGAUCAGGGGUCGUGCCAUGCUUCAGGUGCCGCUCCUUCUGCGAGUCCUCCUUUAUUAUUUAUCUCCAUGAACUUGUCUAGGAUUAUUUGUUGGGUUUCCUCCUUCCCUCCCUUCCUCUCUUUUUCCUUUCUAUCCCUCCUGCUCCAUUUCUCUCAACCUUCCUCCUUCCCUUUCUUUUUGUUUCCAAUCAUUGCAACGUGAUAUUAUGACUCAGUAGCAUUUUUUUUUCCUUUUAGUAGGGAUGGAUGUCUCUUGGACAUCUGCAUCCUCGCCUGGUCCUUCUUGGGAGCACAGCCUUAUCUUCACCUUUGUGCGCUGUCUGCACUUACUAACUGGCUCACGCGCAGCCCAGACCUGUAGCUGUGGCCUAAUUAUUAGCAACCUGCUCUAACUGACUGAGUCAACUAGCUGGGAAAUGCUCUUCUUGAUUUGCAAAGUGUAAUCACUAAUUAGGUAACUUUGAGAGUUUCUAGAGCAGUUAUUUAGGGAAAAUUCAAAAUCCACAGCAAAACCAGGACAGAAGGAUGAUGAUCAUAUGUGUUAGUAAGACCCAAUGUGAAGCCAGAAAGACCCAGUUAGAAAUUUAGAAAUAUCUACCACAAAAAAAAAUCCAGAAAAAAGGAAUAUGUUUCUAAGCUGAAUUUCUUCAUGAAAAUUUUUAUUUGUACAUAUGAGGAUGGCGUGUGGAUAUAGGAUUAAACUAGAUCCCUAAAAUGGAUAUGAGGAAGCUCUCCUAGCAGUAAAGACUCAAGUAUUUGGGAUAAUCCAACAUGGCUGUCAUCUUUAGAGAAUGUCAAUCAUUCCAUUGCCUAGAAGGACAACUGAGAAUACUUUUGAAUCUAGGAGCCAAAUUUCAGUUUCUUAAACAUUGCAACAUACCUAUUAGUAAUUAAGUAAUUGCAUUGUAGGAAAAAGAAUGAGCUCUUCAGCACCCUGUGGCUCUAGGGAGAGCUUGGAUUUGGUGAAUGAAUGGUGUAUCUCUAAAAGACAAAGUCUUUAUUAUUUCUCAAAGACCAGGGUGCCAUUUAUCUGGUCCUAUUUAAUUUUGGUGAAGAUCUAUGAACUUUGUACAGAGUAAAUACCAAGAUUUCAACUGGCUGGAGUUGUUCAAGAGAUAUAUACAAUGUUCAGAGAGAGUAGAUGAAUUAACCAAGGCUCGGAGAUUUAGCAUAAUUACUUAAUUCUGAAUUUGGAAACACGAGGGAUCUUGAAGGUCAUUGAUUCUGCCUUUUUCUCAAUAGAUGAUUAGGGGCCCAGGAAAAUGAGCCAUGGGACGGAGCCCUGACUAACCUCAGUUGAAACUCAAGCUCUGCCACUGUCUGCUACAUAUGCUUGGACAAGUUCCUGCUGUCUCAGAAUCUAAAUUUUCUCAUCUGGAAAAGGGAGAGGUCCCUGAAGAGUUGUUGUGAGGAUUAUAACAUAUGUAAAAGUUUUCACAGUGUCUCAUCUCCCGUCAGUGUGAUCAUUACUACAGAUGAGGAAACUGAGGCUCAGGGAGAACACAUGACUUAUCCAAGAUCAUAAAACCAGGUAGUAGAUCUUCUUAACUUCUAGGACAGUAUUUUUGCUACUUUAAGAAAAAAUAUCCCAUUCCUAAAUAUCCCGGAUCCAUCCAGAACUAAAGGAAGAGACCAGAUGGAGUGUGUCCUUGCGCCCUCUCAUUGCCUUUUCCCAGCCCUGUUUUUGUCCCUUGUGAUGUCUACUCUCCCACACCCUACUCUAUGCUGUCCCUACUCCCUUGGCCUCAAAGCUCAGAGCCCUGCAUGGCCCUUCCUAAGCUGUGCUCUCCUCCCUCCUGUUGCCUCCUACAUCAGAGCCAACCGGCCUGGACCUGCUAUUUCUUCUUAUUUGCUAGGCUGGAAAGUGAGCUGUUGAACUGACCCCUAUGAAUGCACUAAUGGACAGAAAAUGGUAUGGUGGAGGAGUGGCAGAUUGAAGCCAGAAAACCUAGAAUCUGGCUUGUCACCAUCUUCCUCUGUGGCCUUGGGAAGUCACUUCUCCUGUAGGAUUUCAGUUUCCAUUAGGGAACCACUCAGGGAACUUGUAAUAUUGACACCCUAUGGCUCUCUGACUUAAUGUGUCAGCCCAUAUGCCUGGAGCUAAUAAAACCAUCAAAUCAAA